rnacentral:rRNA from 1 species
UACAGAGGUCUCAAGCGUUGUUCGGAUUCAUUGGGCGUAAAGGGUGCGUAGGCGGCGCGGUAAGUCGGGGUGUGAAAUCUUGGAGCUUAACUCCGAAACUGCAUUCGAUACUGCCGUGCUUGAGGACUGGAGAGGAGACUGGAAUUUACGGUGUAGCGGUGAAAUGCGUAGAUAUCGUAAGGAAGACCAGUGGCGAAGGCGGGUCUCUGGACAGUUCUGACGCUGAGGCACGAAGGCCAGGGGAGCAAAACGGG